rnacentral:rRNA from 1 species
GUCUGUAUGGGCUUCGGUCUCUUCUGAGAUACUUUUGGUGAUUCAAAAUAACUUAUCGAAUCGCAGAGGCGUUUACGUCGGCGAUGAUACAUACAAAUUUCUGCUCGAUUAACUGUCGAUGGUAGUGUAGUGGACUACCAUGGUGAUAAUCGAUGACGGGGGAUUAGGGUUCGAUUCCGGAGAGGUAGCCUGAGAAAUGGCUACCACUUCCAAGGAAGGCAGCAGGCGCGCAAAUUACCCAAUGCUAACUCAGCGAGGUAGUGACAAGAAAUACCAAUACAAUGCCAAUGGUGUUGUGUUUGGAAUGAGAGUAAUCUAAAUAUUUACUCGAGGAACAAUUGGAGGGCAAGUCUGGUGCCAGCAGCCGCGGUAAUUCCAGCUCCAAUAGUGUGUAUUAAAGUUGUUGCAGUUAAAAAGCUCGUAGUUGGAUGUCGGUAACUGUCAUAAGUGUCUACACUCAAUGUGUACGUACACGAAUGCAGUACCUUCUUUCUGGUAGUGAUUUCAUAUUGCUCCAGAUAUUUUACUUUGAGAAAAUUAGAGUGUUCAAAGCAGGCGUAACUUUGCCUUUGAAUAUAUUAGCAUGGGAUAAUGAAAUAAGACUUUUGCCUUAUUCUCGUUGGUUCUUUUAGGCUUAAGUAAUGAUUAAUAGGGACAGUUGGGGUUAUCUGUAUUUGAUCGCCAGAGGUGAAAUUCUAAGACUGAUCAAAGACAAACUACUGCGAAAGCAUUUAACAAGGAUGUUUUCAUUAAUCAAGAACGAAAGUUGGGGGAUCGAAGAUGAUCAGAUACCGUCGUAGUCCCAACCAUAAACUAUGUCGACCAAGGAUUCGAAAGCGUUACAUGAAUGACCUCUCGGGCACUUAUAGAGAAAUCAUAAGUAUUUGGAUUCCGGGGGGAGUAUGGUCGCAAGGCUGAAACUUAAAGAAAUUGACGGAAGGGCACCACAAGGAGUGGAAUAUGCGGUUUAAUUUGACCCAACACGGGAAAACUUACCAGGUCCAGACACAAGGAGGAUUGACAGAUUGAGAGCUCUUUCUUAAUUUUGUGGGUGGUGGUGCAUGGCCGUUUCUAGUUGGUGGAGUGAUUUGUCUGGUUAAUUCCGUUAACGAACGAGACCUUAACCUAUUAAAUAGUAACACCUACUU